rnacentral:rRNA from 1 species
UACAUAGGGAGCAAGCGUUAUCCGGAAUUAUUGGGUGUAAGGGGUGCGUAGACGGGAGAACAAGUUAGAUGUGAAAUCCCUCGGCUUAACUGAGGAACUGCAACUAAAACUAUUCAUCUUGAGUGCGGGGGAGGAAAGUGGAAUUCCUAGUGUAGCGGUGAAAUGCGUAGAUAUUAGGAGGAACACCAGUGGCGAAGGCGACUUCCUGGACCGUAACUGACGUUGAAGCACGAAAGUGUGGGGAGCAAAC